rnacentral:lncRNA from 1 species
GCACCGCCAUCGCUCAGAUGGAGACGAGCGAGACAAGGCAAGUCGCGAGGAGGUGGGAUGGGGUUAGCCCAGCCAUAAGCGUAUCACGACCGUUCGUUCGUGAUCGGACGUUAACUCGUAUAGACGAAUGAGAGGGCUUCAAACUGGCUUCGGGAGUAGCAGCCCCCAGGACAGUCGGCCCGUUAGUAGCCCACGCGUGAGUAGAGGCGCAUCAGACAGCCCAGUUCGCGACCUGAACAUUGAUUUGACGGUGAUCUACAUCCCACACGCGAAAUCAACGGCUCACGAGCAAGGAUGCGUGAGAGAGCUCGG